GCAUAUUGAACGAGUGGGUUUCUAGUGAUUCAGGUUUCAGUUGUAACCUGUGGCCAAAUGGAUCAAGUGAAUAAUGGUCAAGGCUGUGUAAAAGGAUUGUCAUCCAGAGAAACUGGGAAGCACAAUUCCUUUGAAUCUGUAUCAAACUGAGAAAAAGAUUGUUUAGCGCUACAGUCAGGUGUAGGUAGUGUGGGAUGAAGAGGGGAAACAGCCUUUUAUCUCUCUCUCAGGGGCUCCGUUGGGUUUUCUUAUCGGAUUCCCUUACACAAUUGCAAAGGAAGCUUUGUUCACAUUUCCUAAUUGCCAGGGGCUUGGGAUGAUGGAAAGAGCAGGACAUUUGGAGUCAGACAGCCUAGAUUCAAAUUCUGGCUUUGCAACUUAAAACCUCUGUGACCUUGGUGAGAGGACAGAUGAGGAAAUGGCCAGAGAGUAGAUGGGGUCAGGGGUAAAACAGGAAGCACUAGAAGGGAACCAGGUGCAGGUCACAGCUUGGUCAGUUUUGUUUUGGGAUGGGUUGGUUCUGGAAUUCCGUUGAGAAGAUCUGUUAAAAUUGGAGAUACUGAUUCGGGAGUUGUGGGCAUUGUGGAAACUGGAAGAAAAUAAAACAUACCCAUUCUCCUAUCCUUGCUCCACAAGUACUGUUCAUAGUUUGUAGAAUUUCUUUAGACCAUUUUUCUCAAUUUUAGCAAUAAAUAUUAUGCAAAUGAACACCUUUUUGUGUUUAUAGAUGUGUAUCUAUGUCAUCGUUUAAAAUGGCUGCAUUUAAUUUCCUAUGUUCACUCUUAAUCCAUUGUGGAUUUUGUAGCGCUAGGUAUGAUCUCUAAGAAAGCAUACUGAGGGAGAAGAGAAUUCAACCAAGAACUGGAACCUUUACACACAGAUGAUAGGAAGGGAGAGAGUGGCCUGUUAAGAAGAGUGGGAAGAGGACAUGCUUGGAGCCUGAUGAGAACCAACAUCCCACAAUGCUACAGAGAUACUUACUCACCCCUGCAACUGCCUAUAUUGGGAAAGAUGGAACCAGAAGAGGCAAGAUUAUGUGUCUACAUUCAGGAAGAAAGAAAGAAAGACAAUCUUCAUUUUAAAAUUCCCAUUUUAAGUAUAACCUCAAGUAUAAUUUGCUUUCUCUAACAGUAUAACAGACAGCAUGAAAUGUGCAAAGGACUUAAGUUCAAUGAGGCUUACGUAUGAGUUUUAAUGGAGAAGGUUAAUUUUUAACUGCUUCUAAGACUUCAUAAUAUGAUAGGAAAAAUUAUCAAGAGAUAAUUAGAAGAGAAUGACAUUAUAAUCCCCAAAGAAAAACAUAUUUUGUAAGCAAACCCGAAAUUCAGCACAAUCUUAAAUUAUAAUCCCAGCUGGAUGGGAUUAGCAUUUUUGCAACACAUUGAAACAAGAAUGUUCAGUGCACUGAGCCACGAGCUUGACUUUGUUGAUCAUUCUCUAUCAAAACCCAGAUUUUUAAAUAACAGUACACCACUGGACCCAGAUUCAAUGGUUUCCCAAAAACCGAUUUUUACUGUCCGAUGUUAACAAACUAGUGUCAGCCCAGUUGGAUGAUUUAGAUGUUCCUGAAUUGUUAGGAUGUUCAGGGUGGCCCAUCAUCAUUGCACAAAUUGCAGCAGUUCACAGCAAUGGUAAAUGUUUCCCGUCUCCCGACAUACUGGCACAUUUAAAUUAUGUUGCAUUGCGAUUCUGUCUCUUUAAACAAGAAGAAAAUUAAGCUUCAAGUUUAAUUAAACAUUAUUUUAAAAAUUGGGUUUUGGUUUAUAAAAUUCACCCUGUGAUUCUUCCAAGUUCCUUCCUUGAGAAAAUAGAUUGCACGUUUCGUUGGGAUUUGACCUUAAUUAAUCCUGUACGUUGUGAUCCACCCUCUUGCUGAAACAGUCUUAUGAAAAGGAAUGCAAGCUAUGGGCUAAGAUAACAAUCGGCCAUUAACUUCUGUGUGUGAUGCUGGCUGUGGUCCAUGAGCGUGGAAUUCAAAACCCAUUGUACACAGUAAUGUCCAGGGCUUAGUGCUCUAUGGUCGAGAGACAAAAUAAACUAUGCAGAACAGCAUCUUUACACAGUCUACAUGGAUUUACACUAGAGCAAAUGCUCUGAAACAUUCAUAAUGCAGCAUGUGCGUUGGCAUCUAAUCCUGCCGUGUCAGAUUACACAGAAGAUGGGUCAUUCCAGCAAUGCCAACUGAAUUAAACAAGCAAAAGUGAUCACUUUCCAGAUACCAUUAUUUUAGUAAGAAUGAUUUGCAGACUUAUCACUUAAAACUUUAAAAAUAUCUGAUUAUUUCCUUCUAAUGUUUUAGAUAGUAUCCUAGGGCAGUAGCUCUCCUUACUAACAUAACUUGACUGCCUUCUAAAUAAGAAAAGGGUUUGAAUUGAUAAAUAACUUUUGUCUGUUGAUCUAAAUCAUAUGUAGUCCAGAUAAAUAUAACACAUUUGCAGUACUAUUAAUAAAGCAAGUGACUAUAGCAGCUGAAAUCUUUUAUGUAACGUAGCUUUUUCUUUUGGCCGGGACACUCAUCACCUCCCCAAUAAGUUUU
ensembl:lncRNA